GGAAGGAUCAGUAAGAGAGGUGGGAAAACGUGUGCAGUGGCCGCGAGGCCGACAGUAUAUACUUAUUUACAUCACGACACAUAAUUGCAGACAAGGGAUCUCUAGGCUCCCGCAACGAUGAAGAACGCAGCAAAGUGCGAUACGUAGUGCGAGACGCACCUGUGAGUCAUCGAGUCUUUGAACGCAUUUUGCACUCGCAAGAGUACAUCUGCCUGAGGCGGCGAGAUUGUAUGUCGCUGGACAGCGGUGGCGGAUGCGUCCGCUGAAACGCAGAGGAGCGGAUGAACUCCAGACUCCUGAGGGCGGAGCAAUCCACCUAUUCUACAUCGCUCAGGUCAGAUGAGAGCACCCGCCGAACUUAAGCAUAUCAGUAAGCGGAGGAAAAGAAACUAACGAGGAUUCCCCCAGUAAUGGCGAAUGAAGCGGGAAGAGCCCAAAUUUGUAAUCUGGCGCAAGCCCGAGUUGUGGUUUCGAGGCCGCGGGGAUGUGGGGGCGAGCUGGAGGUGCUCUGGAAGGGGCCGCCGCAGAGGGUGACAGCCCUGUGCCAGCGUAGCCGAAGCGUGCCUUGCGGCCGACGAGUCGAGCUGUUUGGGAAUGCAGCUCCAAGAGGUGGUAAACAGCAUCUAAGGCUAAAUAUUGGCGGGAGACCGAUAGCGAACAAGUACCGUGAGGGAAAGAUGAAAAGGACUUUGGAAAGAGGGUCAAAAGAGCGUGAAAUUGUCUGCAAGGAAGCGAAGGGCGGGGGAGGCGGUGAGCUGAAGAGUGGGGGAAGAGGGCAGCGCAAUACACGCUCUUCUCUUCCUCCCUCUGUCCCCGCUCUACGACCCGUCUUGAAACACGGACCAAGGAGUCUAGCAGGCGUGCGAGUGUCUGGGCGUCAAACCCACAUGCGCAGCGAGAGCGAUGCGAAGGCGGGCAACCACACUUCGGGCCGGGGAAGCUCGAGCUUGAGCACGGAUGCUGGGACCCGAAAGAUGGUGAACUAUGCCUGGGCGGGGCGAAGCCAGGAGAAAUUCUGGUGGAGGCUCUUUGAGGUUCUGACGUGCAAAUCGAUCUCUGGACCUGGGGAUAGGGGCGAAAGACUAAUCGAACCAUCUAGUAGCUGGUUCCCUC
rnacentral:misc_RNA from 1 species